UACAGAGGUCUCAAGCGUUGUUCGGAUUCAUUGGGUGUAAAGGGUGCGUAGGCGGUGGGGCAAGUCAGGUGUGAAAUCCCGGAGCUCAACUCCGGAACUGCACUUGAUACUGCCUUGCUAGAGUACUGGAGAGGUAGCUGGAAUUAUCGGUGUAGCAGUGAAAUGCGUGGAUAUCGAUAGGAACACUCGUGGCGAAGGCGGCUCCCUGGACAAUUGCUGACACUCAGGCACGAAAGCGUGGGGAGCAAAAGGG
rnacentral:rRNA from 1 species